GUACAAAGGUAGCAUAAUCRUUAGUUUUUUAAUUGAGAACUUGUAUGAAUGGUUGAAUGAGAAAUAGACUUUUUUAAUAGAAAAAUUGAAUUUUACAUUUUAAUUAAAAGGUUAAAAUAUUUUUAAAAGACGAGAAGACCCUAUAGAGUUUUAUAAUUUAUAUUUAAUACAAAAAAAAAUUAAUAAAUAUUUUUAUUUAAAUAAUUAUUUUGUUGGGGCGACGAUAAAAUUUAAUAAACUUUUAUUUUUUUUUACAUUAAUAUAUGGGGGGCUGAUCCGCUAUUGGCGAUUAAAAAUUUAAAUUACCUUAGGGAUAACAGCGUAAUUUUUUUUUUAAGUUCAUAUUAAUAAAAAAUUUUGCGACC
rnacentral:rRNA from 1 species